CCUACGGGUGGCAGCAGUGGGGAAUAUUGGGCAAUGGGCGCAAGCCUGAUCCAGCAACGCCGCGUGAAGGAAGAAGGCUUUCGGGUUGUAAACUUCUUUUGGCAGGGACGAAGCAAGUGACGGUACCUGACGAAUAAGCCACGGCUAACUACGUGCCAGCAGCCGCGGUAAUACGGAGGUGGCAAGCGUUAGCCGGAUUUACUGGGUGUAAAGGGCGUGUAGGCGGGACUGCAAGUCAGAUGUGAAAACCACGGGCUGAACCUGUGGCCUGCAUUUGAAACUGUAGUUCUUGAGUACUGGAGAGGCAGGCGGAAUUCCUGGUGUAGCGGUGAAAUGCGUAGAUAUUAGGAGGAACACCAGUGGCGAAGGCGGUCUGCUGGACAGCAACUGACGCUGAGGCGCGAAAGCGUGGGGAGCAAACAGGAUUAGAUACCCGGGUAGUC
rnacentral:rRNA from 1 species